GAUGAAGAACGUAGCGAAAUGCGAUAAGUAAUGCGAAUUGCAGAAUCCGUGAGUCAUCGAAUCUUUGAACGCACAUUGCGCCCCUUGGUUAUUCCGAAGGGCAUGCCUGUUCGAGCGUCAUUUCAACCCUCAAGCUCUCCGGAGUUUGGUGUUGGGGCGCCUGGGGCUUUUCGACCUCAGGGCCCUCAAGUCCAUCGGCGGGACCGCCAGGACACUGAGCGCAGUAGUAUUAUUUCGCUCGGUAGGAUCUUCCACGGCGGGUCGAUCUGGCCGCUAAACCCCCCAAUUCUCACCAAAGGUUGACCUCGGAUCAGGUAGGAAUACCCGCUGAACUUAAGCAUAUCAAUAAGCGGAGGA
rnacentral:misc_RNA from 1 species